UAUAUUUUAGCCGUGUUCCAUG
rnacentral:miRNA from 1 species